CACGUAGGGGGCAAGCGUUGUCCGGAUUUAUUGGGCGUAAAGAGCUCGUAGGCGGUUUCGUAAGUCGGAUGUGAAAACUCCAGGCUCAACUUGGAGACGCCAUUCGAUACUGCGAUGACUUGAGUCCGGUAGGGGAGUGUGGAAUUCCUGGUGUAGCGGUGGAAUGCGCAGAUAUCAGGAGGAACACCAAUAGCGAAGGCAGCUCGCUGGGACGGUAUUGACGCUAAGGCGCGAAAGCGUGGGGAGCAAACAGG
rnacentral:rRNA from 1 species